CAGAGUGCACUGACGUGAGAGUUUAUCAGGAACAAGGCACAGGGACAGGAGCACACACCAUGAUUUCAAACGUUCAGCAGAUCUGGCCUCUGGCAUUGUUCAUCACAGGCAUCAGCGGGGACAUCAUCAUGAACCAGUCUCCCCCGGUGCUGUUUGUGCGACUGGGCCAGACCGCAACUAUCAAUUGUACAGCCAGUCAAGAUGUUAACAACGACGUCAAUUGGUACCAGCAGCGAGACGGUCAGAAACCCUCUCUUCUGAUCAGCGAUGCAAAUUACCGAUACACAGGCGUCCCUGAACGGUUCAUCGGCAGUCAAUUGGGAAUCAGUUUUACUUUGACAAUCAGCAACGUUCAGGAAGAGGAUGUCGCUGACUAUUACUGUAUGCAAGAUUAUAGCGUGCCUCAAGCACUUUCAUUUGGUAAAGGAACCAAGAUCCAACUCAGGCGUGAGAGGUCUCAGCCCAAGCUGAUCCUGCUACCCCCCUCUCUGGAACAGGUCAAGGCCAAGAGUGCUGCCACUCUGAUGUGCUUUGUCAAUCAUUUCUAUCCCGCAGAGCUGAAAGUGCAGUGGAAGAAGAAUGGUGCAAUCAUUUCGGACGGGGUUCAGACAAGCAACUACCUGCGAGCUUCAGACAGCACCUAUAGCCUCAGCAGCCUGCUGACACUUUCUCGUUCCGAUUGGGAGUCCAAUGUUCGCUUAUCCUGUGACGUCACUCAUGUGACCCUCUCCUCUCCCCUCAGCCGGAGCAUCAGGAGAUCAGAAUGUGUGUAGAGUGUUCGAGACAGUUCACACAGAAGGCACAACUUUAAAUAAAACAGGGCUGAGCUUACAGGACAAAGGCCAUUGUCAGCAUUGGGUUUUAACUCUCUUCCAUCUCGGCACUGUCUCAGAGACACUUCUGAGUUUUAAGGGUUAAAAAAGGGCAUUUGGGCAGUGUAGAGGAAGAUUUACUCUGUAUCUAACCUUAUGCAGUUUCUGCCCUAGGAGUGUUAGCUGGGGACGGUGUCAACUUCUGAUGCGAAGUAACGUUCCUCAAAGAUGUUGAUGUCUGUCAGCUGCAGAAAAAACGAUGUGUACCUCUGUAGGCUCUGGUUUAGUAAAUUAGACCUCCUUCCCGCUCAGCCACUACUUCCAAUUUAAGGUUUUGUCACUGUUUAAAGCGAUAGGAUUCUCAUGUAAUUAAGAAAAUCUCCACCAGUGAUUGCCUCAUGCUCCGUUAUAGCUGUGAAUUCGUGCAACUUGCUUUACCUAGGCUCUUAUUUGAGCCUUUUCUCUGUCAAUGUUAAUCUUCAAAAUGGAAUAAAUUCGA